GAUGAACGCUGGCGGCGUGCCUAAUACAUGCAAGUCGAGCGAACAGAUGAGGAGCUUGCUCCUUUGACGUUAGCGGCGGACGGGUGAGUAACACGUAGGUAACCUACCUAUAAGACUGGGAUAACUUCGGGAAACCGGAGCUAAUACCGGAUAAUAUUUCGAACUGCAUGGUUCGAUAGUGAAAGAUGGCUUUGCUAUCACUUAUAGAUGGACCUGCGCCGUAUUAGCUAGUUGGUAAGGUAACGGCUUACCAAGGCAACGAUACGUAGCCGACCUGAGAGGGUGAUCGGCCACACUGGAACUGAGACACGGUCCAGACUCCUACGGGAGGCAGCAGUAGGGACUCUUCCGCAAUGGGCGAAAGCCUGACGGAGCAACGCCGCGUGAGUGAUGAAGGUCUUCGGAUCGUAAAACUCUGUUAUUAGGGAAGAACAAACGUGUAAGUAACUGUGCACGUCUUGACGGUACCUAAUCAGAAAGCCACGGCUAACUACGUG
rnacentral:rRNA from 1 species